CCUACGGGCGGCAGCAGUGAGGAAUAUUGGUCAAUGGACGAGAGUCUGAACCAGCCAAGUAGCGUGAAGGAUGACUGCCCUAUGGGUUGUAAACUUCUUUUAUAUGGGAAUAAAAUGUUCCACGUGUGGGAUUUUGUAUGUACCCUAUGAAUAAGGAUCGGCUAACUCCGUGCCAGCAGCCGCGGUAAUACGGAGGAUCCGAGCGUUAUCCGGAUUUAUUGGGUUUAAAGGGAGCGUAGGUGGAUUGUUAAGUCAGUUGUGAAAGUUUGCGGCUCAACCGUAAAAUUGCAGUUGAAACUGGCAGUCUUGAGUACAGUAGAGGUGGGCGGAAUUCGUGGUGUAGCGGUGAAAUGCUUAGAUAUCACGAAGAACUCCGAUUGCGAAGGCAGUUCACUGGACUGCAACUGACACUGAGGCUCGAAAGUGUGGGUAUCAAACAGGAGUAGAUACCCCUGUAGUC
rnacentral:rRNA from 1 species